UACGAAGGGGGCUAGCGUUGCUCGGAAUCACUGGGCGUAAAGCGCACGUAGGCGGAUUGCUAAGUCAGGGGUGAAAUCCUGGAGCUCAACUCCAGAACUGCCUUUGAUACUGGCGGUCUCGAGUCCGGGAGAGGUGAGUGGAACUGCGAGUGUAGAGUUGAAAUUCGUAGAUAUUCGCAAGAACACCAGUGGCGAAGGCGGCUCACUGGCCCGGUACUGACGCUGAGGUGCGAAAGCGUGGGGAGCAAACAGG
rnacentral:rRNA from 1 species